UGCAAGUCGAACGGUAACAGAUGUAGCAAUACAUGCUGACGAGUGGCGCACGGGUGCGUAACACGUAUGCAACCUACCCUUUACUGGGGGAUAACCCUGAGAAAUUAGGGCUAAUACCCCAUGGUAUUCAGAUAAGGCAUCUUACUUGAAUUAAAGAUUUAUUGGUAAAGGAUGGGCAUGCGCCCCAUUAGUUAGUUGGUGAGGUAACGGCUCACCAAGGCAGUGAUGGGUAGGGGUUCUGAGAGGAUUAUCCCCCACACUGGUACUGAGACACGGACCAGACUCCUACGGGAGGCAGCAGUAAGGAAUAUUGGGCAAUGGGCGAGAGCCUGACCCAGCCAUGCCGCGUGCAGGAAGACGGCCUUAUGGGUUGUAAACUGCUUUUAUGUGAGACUAAUCGCCCUGACGUGUCGGGGUUUGCAGGUAUCGCAUGAAUAAGCAUCGGCUAACUCCGUGCCAGCAGCCGCGGUAAUACGGAGGAUGCGAGCGUUAUCCGGAUUUAUUGGGUUUAAAGGGUGCGUAGGCGGACAAGUAAGUCAGUGGUGAAAUAUUCGGGCUCAACCGGGAUACUGCCAAUGAUACUGUUUGUCUGGAGUGUAAACGAAGUGGGCGGAAUGUGGAGUGUAGCGGUGAAAUGCAUAGAUAUUCCACAGAACACCGAUAGCGAAGGCAGCUCACUAGCAUACAACUGACGCUGAGGCACGAAAGCGUGGGGAGCAAACAGGAUUAGAUACCCUGGUAGUCCACGCUGUAAACGAUGAUCACUAGCUGUAGGCGAUACACUGUCUGUGGCUAAGCGAAAGCGAUAAGUGAUCCACCUGGGGAGUACGUCGGCAACGAUGAAACUCAAAGGAA
rnacentral:rRNA from 1 species